AGUAGGCGGCCAAACUGUGCGGUUGAUCAACGGCAAUCGUGCGUUCGCUGGUUGUUGCCGAACUCCGCCAUAUCGCGUUCUUUUCUUUCGCAAUUGUUCCGCAAAAGUGUUCACAAAAUAAACCGAAACGUUCUCCGCACGCUGACCCUACUGUGUAUCGUGCUUUUGCUUAUCGCUCCCUGUGGCUAUGAGAUCGACAAAGUCAUCACGCACCCAAUCUGUCAGCUAUAGUUACAACGAGAUGGCUAAGCCUUCACUUCAUUCGACUUUGAAGUUUCUGAAGAAAGUCAGCCCAUUACUACCCGUGGCCAGGAUUGCUGUGCAGUGUACACACUCGGCUUGCAUUUGCCCGCCAUCGAAUGGGCACAAUCGCUCUUGCCCGACUGUUUCACCCUGGACGAGGUCCGCGAGAUGCUGAAAAAAUGGUAAAACACGCGCAGACACAUGUUUUUUUUUGUUGAAUUACUCUUUAUUAUACGGAUUUUUCGACAAUUACACCCCAGCAAAGAUGAGGUGAAGUCAUCAUCAUUCGCCCUCCCCUCUCCCGACGAGACUAACAACAUUACGGGAGACACUACUAAACGGAACUCCGGCUCCUGCAAAUCGUAAAUAUAUAGAACUACAUGUA